UUGUGCUAUACGAGCGGCCGAUGUCUGAUUAGCUAGUUGGUGAGGUAAAGGCUCACCAAGGCGACGAUCAGUAGCGGGUCUGAGAGGAUGAUCCGCCACACUGGGACUGAGACACGGCCCAGACUCCUACGGGAGGCAGCAGUGGGGAAUUUUGGACAAUGGGCGCAAGCCUGAUCCAGCCAUGCCGCGUGUCUGAAGAAGGCCUUCGGGUUGUAAAGGACUUUUGUCAGGGAGCAAAAACUUACUGGUUAAUACCUGGUGAGGUUGAGAGUACCUGAAGAAUAAGCACCGGCUAACUACGUGCCAGCAGCCGCGGUAAUACGUAGGGUGCAAGCGUUAAUCGGAAUUACUGGGCGUAAAGCGUGCGCAGGCGGACUUUUAAGCCAGAUGUGAAAGCCCCGAGCUUAACUUGGGAAUUGCGUUUGGAACUGGGAGUCUAGAGUCUGUCAGAGGGGGAUGGAAUUCCACGUGUAGCAGUGAAAUGCGUAGAGAUGUGGAGGAACACCGAUGGC
rnacentral:rRNA from 1 species